rnacentral:rRNA from 1 species
UAGGGAAUCUUCGGCAAUGGACGGAAGUCUGACCGAGCAACGCCGCGUGAGUGAAGAAGGUUUUCGGAUCGUAAAGCUCUGUUGUUAGAGAAGAACGUUGGUAGGAGUGGAAAAUCUACCAAGUGACGGUAACUAACCAGAAAGGGACGGCUAACUACGUGCCAGCAGCCGCGGUAAUACGUAGGUCCCGAGCGUUGUCCGGAUUUAUUGGGCGUAAAGCGAGCGCUGGCGGUUCUUUAAGUUUGAAGUUAAAGGCAGUGGCUUAACCAUGGUACGCUUUGGAAACUGGAGGACUGGGGUGCAGAAGGGGAGAGAGGAAUUCCAUGUGUGGCGGUGAAAUGCGUAGAUAUAUGGAGGAACACCGGUGGCGAAGGCGGCUCUCUGGUCUGUAACUGACGCGGAGGCUCGAAAGCGUGGGGGGCAAACAGG